rnacentral:lncRNA from 1 species
AUUAUACAUGAUAUGAUUCCCAAUAUGUUAAGUGCAUGCUUGCAUCCAUCCACUCUGGGGUACAGUUUUAUGUGAGAUACAUCAGAGGGGAGACGGGAGAUACACACGCAUGCUUAACACAACAAACUCCGGUGCCUGAUCGUAUCUUUAGGUUACUGAUGUGAGAUACAUGCGGCAUGUUUGCAUGCAUGGCCGCUUGACCAGAAUGGCCGCCCGUGAGACUUGCUCAUAUGAGAAAUGACCAUACGGAUUAGCUUGAGAUCGCAAGAACAAAGUUUUGAAGCAUUCUAUUACCUCCCAACCAUACAGAGUACUAUCCAUGCAAGGACGCAGGUUGUACGUUGGCUUCUGGGUGAAUUCAAGAAAAACAGUGAUGGGCUGGCUGCUACACUACUACUUCCUACUGCUAGCUUGUAUUUGUAUUUCUGCUGCUAUUUGUGCACCUGAACCUUGUAUCUCUGCUCCUGAACCUUGUAUUUGUGCUUCUGAAGACCUGCACCAUGUAUUUGUGAUGCUAUUUGUGCUCUUGAACCUUGUAUUUGCCUUCCUGAUAUUGUGUUUUCUAGCUGUUCUACUAUGUAUUCACAUUGAUGGUUAGUAACUGAAGCUAUUUGUGCAUUUUUGUCACUGUGUGAACCAAUAUUCGUUAUAUGAAUUUUGCCACUACUCUGUUAUACACUGUACAAGAACAAUAUACAGCAGCCCGAUGGGUAACCCAUCGGGUCGGGUUACCCAUUGGGUUCGGGCGUGGGUCUGAUCCUUCGCCCAUGGGCAGGGUCGUGGGCAACUGGGUAGACCCAUUUAGUAAUCGGGCAUGGGUUUGGUAGACCUCGACCCGGGCAAACCCGACCCGACUGCCAGGUUGACUCUGGGGUACAGUUUUAUGUGAGAUACAUCAGAGGGGAGACGGGAGAUACACACGCACGCUUAACACAACAAACUCCGGUGCCUGAUCGUAUCUUUAGGUUACUGAUGUGAGAUACAUGCGGCAUGUUUGCAUGCAUGGCCGCUUGACCAGAAUGGCCAC